CGCCCCGCCGCGCGGAAUCCUUGGUCUGGGUCUUGCUGGAGGUUGGUGGUCGCUCUAUCGCUUAUCUGAGUCGGGGGUGCCUAUAUGGAACCCCAGGAAUACGACUCAACAGUAUGAUUCAAAGCAGCGGAACGAGCAAGACCACGUCUGCAAGUCUUCACUGCAGCAUUAUUUUCAUUGGAAAAGUGGAAACAAUCCAGAAUGUUCCACGUUAAGCUCCCAAAUGGUAAUCUUACAACUUGAGAACUCUCCCUGGAAAAGUAAGAGCCCAGAAACUGCUGAGCCUCCCAGUCUCAAUUUCCUUUUCCAGAUUCAUCAAGUAGGUAAGAGAGAGCCGUUAAAGUUUUCUGAGGAGGACAGCGACCUGAACUAAGUUGUGUUUAACAAACACUGUCCUGGCAGCAAUGUAAAGGAUGAGUCGAAGGGAAGAAGUCGAGGGCAGAGAAACCAGCCAAGAGGAAGGCAAAGGGCUGUGUCAUCUAACUUUCCCUGAACCGGUGCAUCAGCAGAACGGGCU